CAGUGCAGCUGAAAUCCUAGAAGACCUCACAACUGUGUUAAAUUUUCACAGCUGACCACUUAAAGGCAGUUCUCUUCAAAUAAGAGAGUCUCACUCUCUCACCCAGGCUGGAGUGCGGUGGCACGAUCUCAGCUCACUGCAACAUCUGCCUCCCAGGUUCAAGAGAUUCUCCUGCCUCACUUACAUAGAUGAGUUUGAUAACAGUCAAGCUGAAACUAAAAAGACGCAGCUUGACUGACACAGAGAUCCUGAAUAAGAGACUCUUUGGAUACUGAAAAGUCUCUUAAAUAAG
rnacentral:lncRNA from 1 species